AGAACGAACGCUGGCGGCAUGCCUAACACAUGCAAGUCGAACGCUCUUGAGGCUUCGGUUUCAAGGGAGUGGCGCACGGGUGAGUAGCGCGUGGGAACCUGCCCUGUUGUGGGGGAUAACCGAGGGAAACUUCGGCUAAUACCGCAUGCGCCCGGGGAAACCCGGGGAAAGAUUUAUCGCAGCAGGAGGGGCCCGCGUCGGAUUAGGUAGUUGGUAGGGUAACGGCCUACCAAGCCUUUGAUCCGUAGCUGGUCUGAGAGGAUGAUCAGCCACACUGGGACUGAGACACGGCCCAGACUCCUACGGGAGGCAGCAGUGGGGAAUAUUGGACAAUGGGCGCAAGCCUGAUCCAGCAAUGCCGCGUGAGUGAUGAAGGCCUUAGGGUUGUAAAGCUCUUUCGCCCGCGACGAUGAUGACGGUAGCGGGAGAAGAACGCCCCGGCUAACUUCGUGCCAGCAGCCGC
rnacentral:rRNA from 1 species